UAAUGGACUUUCUGGACAUUGAGCCUGUGAGCUGUAGGAAUAGCAAACACAUAAGAUUCUAGCCAAGCUCCUGAACUGACAGGUACAAUGGACAGUAUAAAGACCAAUAGGGAUUGCUUUAUAAAACAGUUACUGUACUUUAAACAUCUGUAGAGGAGUUCUUCAGAAGGUGGAGGAGAUGAUUCCUUUUGUGAGGCACCAGAGAGACCUUGAACUGUGGAGUCUGCUUUUCCAAUACUGCACAGCUUUGACCAUUGCCUUAAUUUCUGUGUACUUUAGUGUGCUUCAUUACAUUUUAGGCACUCUGCAUAUGUAACUGGGGGCAGUUUAGAGAGAGGAAAUUUUUAUUAAAUAUGUUAAUCACCUAACAACAUUUGGCUUGCAGUCUCAACUGAACUGUUUCUCAGAGAAACAGAUAAGAGGAAAGCAGGUUGCAUGCAUAAAAUAAAUGUAACGUGAAGUAAAUUAAAAAUACAAAGGUGGAAGAUCAGUUGUUUUCUCAAAUCCUUUCAGUUCUAGUAAUGUGGGUUUAAUACGUCAGAAAAAGAAAUGGAGUCUCUAUGUGAUUUUUACCUUGCCUCUGAUCUUUUAUUACCGCUAAAACUCCUAUGGUAUUUGUUUGAAAAACAAGUUCUUUAAUGUAUUUAUUAAAAUGACAAUAUGUUUCCAUACUUUAUUAUGAUUAAAGUCCUGUUGGCUGGA